rnacentral:rRNA from 1 species
AUUGAACGCUGGCGGCAUGCUUUACACAUGCAAGUCGAACGGCAGCGCGGGCUUCGGCCUGGCGGCGAGUGGCGAACGGGUGAGUAAUGCAUCGGAACGUGCCCAGUAGUGGGGGAUAGCCCGGCGAAAGCCGGAUUAAUACCGCAUACGACCUGAGGGUGAAAGCGGGGGACCGAAAGGCCUCGCGCUAUUGGAGCGGCCGAUGUCGGAUUAGCUAGUUGGUGGGGUAAAGGCUUACCAAGGCGACGAUCCGUAGCUGGUCUGAGAGGACGACCAGCCACACUGGGACUGAGACACGGCCCAGACUCCUACGGGAGGCAGCAGUGGGGAAUUUUGGACAAUGGGGGCAACCCUGAUCCAGCCAUGCCGCGUGCGGGAAGAAGGCCUUUGGGUUGUAAACCGCUUUUGUUCGGGAAGAAAUCCUCUGGGCUAAUACCCCGGGGGGAUGACGGUACCGGAAGAAUAAGCACCGGCUAACUACGUG